CUAAAAAACGUUGGGUUGUUUUUUCAACCCAACUGCUGGGUUGAGCCAGUUGGGUUAUUUUGUUGGGUUGUUUUAUCAGUGUUGGGUAGUUUUUGUGUAACCCAACUUGUUGGGUUAUAUGUUGGGUAAUUUUGAAGCAGAGCCAACUUAAUAGAUACAUAUAGCUGUUUCUCAAUAUUACUUUGUCUAGUCCACAAAAUGUAUUUUAAACAUAAGUUUAGGCGAGAAUAUAUAUGUAUAAUGUUCAAAUUUGCAGUCGGUUUGUAAAGUGAACGCCAAUUUUAAAGUUUAAUUAGUCAAAGUCGGAAUGUUACCAGCCACCGUUACCGGGCACCGGGUGUCAGUGUUGUUCUUCCCCAGAGAGAAAUCCUCACUUCCCCCACACAGACGGUCAGCUGAACUGCUUCUCACUGCAACGUUACCUGACGCGGGAGUUUAUUACCUCAAGAUUCAUAAACGGUUUUUCAUCGACUUAUCUUUGAUUUAUUUUAAGGAAAAGACUCUGAUGGAUAAAAGAUGGAUAUUUUUUCCUGGAGAAGCUAAAACAAUGUAACUUUGAGGUUCUGAUACCAGCUUUUACAACGUUAUUUACAGAGUUCACAAGACUUCUCUGUGUUAUUCCCUGAACAUGCCGAAAAGCUUUUUGAAACUUGGGCACUGCAUUUUACAGACAGAAUCCUGCAACUUCCCAGCCAAGAACCAGGAGCAUCAACAAAUCACCUCCAGAACCCCAUGAUGAUAUUCCAACUCCUGUCUACAAAAGUGGGAAGAAAAUCUUAAGUCUAUGUUGGGACCAACAUGGUUGCAUUCUUCUGAGAGGCUGAGGUGACAAAACCAUUCCCAUUUGUCCUUGAAUUGGAAGAUGACGAUUUCUGCCAUCAAGCCUUCGUUAUUUUGGACAGACAGUCACUCCAGCAAUACACCCUCCUUGGUGAUGUUGACAUGUUUUAAACUUUUUUUGUUUUGGACAUUCAUUUUACUAAGCAGUGCACAUCAGUGUUUACAAACUCCCAAGAACAGAAUCCCUUUCUAUAAGAAGUCUGUGUAGUUAUUUGUCAUGCUAAGGCGAUAACUCAUGUUGAUCAUAUAUUUUGUUUGUGCAACUUUGUGUUGAUCUUAUGUGUUACAUUAACCAUUUCUUAUUACACGGUUCUCUAAAAUGCUAGUUUCUGAUUGGCCAGUCGUGACAUUCUACUACUGCUCAAAACUAAAAACUCCAAUGAUGCAAAUCAUUUUGACAGGUACAGUUUUAUAUUACACAAAAAUUAAAUAUCAAUGUCUAUUAAUUACAUAUCCGACAUUAAAUUUACAAAUGAUUAAACCAAUGUGUAAUGACUUGUAAGAGACGGAAGCAAACGCAGGUGAAAAAUAUAACAAUGUUUAUUAAAUGUAAACAAAGAGAGAGUAUUCAGAGUCAAUGCGGAAGUAAUCCAGUCCGGUGUUGUUGAAGGCAAUGGUGACGAUGACUACGGUGGAAGUUGGUGUUUUGAGUGCGACGUUGGUGGAGUGGUGAAAUCCAGGCUGACACGGAACAUCCACAUGAAGACGACGACGACGACAAUACACAUCCAACUGUAACACGUAAUCCAGAGCACACGAAACAACCAAGCAACACGGAGACUGAGCAAACAUAAGAAUCUGGCAGGGAACAGAAAGUCAGGUGAGUAUAUAUGGAGAUGAUGUAAUGAUGAACAGCUGGAGCGAGACAAUCAACACACAGGUGAAAGGGAUUGCUCUAACGAGCACAUGGCAGGGGUAAGUGAACAACACACACACACAAACAUGACACGGAGGAAAACAAUGGAUUUUCCUACCGUGACACAAUGUGUUCGUGACAUUUGUCCUGAAGAAACUGUUGGGGCUUUUUUCUGUGAUGACAUGCUGCCAAUACAUUAUCCCUUACUUGUACAACUUUUUACUUGAUCUAAUUGUAAUGUUAACUGUGCAUCUGUCAUUUUAGAUUGUGAGAUAUAAUACUAAUAUAUUUUUUUUAUCAGAAAGUUGAUUGUUUGUGUAGGGCUAUGUACUCUUUUAUUGUUCAUGUGCAAUAAAUAUGCUUUUUCAAUUAAAUCUAUGCUUUGUUAUUUAUAGACACCACAAUGAAAGGUAUGAAAGCAAUUUAAACCACAAAAUUUCAGCU